rnacentral:rRNA from 1 species
UACGGGGGGGGCAAGCGUUGUUCGGAAUUACUGGGCGUAAAGGGCUCGUAGGUGGCCAACUAAGUCAGACGUGAAAUCCCUCAGCUUAACUGGGGAACUGCGUCUGAUACUGGAUGGCUUGAGAUUGGGAGAGGGAUGCGGAAUUCCAGGUGUAGCGGUGAAAUGCGUAGAUAUCGGGAGGAACACCAGAGGUGAAGACGGGUUGCUGGGCCGACACUGACGCUGACAGCGCGAAAGCCAGGGGAGCAAACGGG